AUUGAACGCUGGCGGCAUGCCUUACACAUGCAAGUCGAACGGUAACGCGGGGCAACCUGGCGACGAGUGGCGAACGGGUGAGUAAUGUAUCGGAACGUGCCCAGUAGUGGGGGAUAGCCCGGCGAAAGCCGGAUUAAUACCGCAUGAGACCUGAGGGUGAGAGCGGGGGAUCGCAAGACCUCGCGCUAUUGGAGCGGCCGAUAUCAGAUUAGGUAGUUGGUGGGGUAAAGGCCUACCAAGCCUGCGAUCUGUAGCUGGUCUGAGAGGAUGACCGGCCACACUGGGACUGAGACACGGCCCAGACUCAUACGGGAGGCAGCAGUGGGGAAUUUUGGACAAUGGGCGCAAGCCUGAUCCAGCCAUGCCGCGUGCGGGAAGAAGGCCUUCGGGUUGUAAACCGCUUUUGUCAGGGAAGAAAUCUUCUGGGUUAAUACCUCGGGAGGAUGACGGUACCUGAAGAAUAAGCACCGGCUAACUAGGUGCCAGCAGCCGCCGUAA
rnacentral:rRNA from 1 species